GAUGAACGCUGACAGAAUGCUUAACACAUGCAAGUCUACUUGAAUUUGGGUUUUUUAACUUAGAUUUGGGUGGCGGACGGGUGAGUAACGCGUAAAGAACUUGCCUCACAGCUAGGGACAACAUUUGGAAACGAAUGCUAAUACCUGAUAUUAUGAUUAUAAGGCAUCUUAGAAUUAUGAAAGCUAUAUGCGCUGUGAGAGAGCUUUGCGUCCCAUUAGCUAGUUGGAGAGGUAACGGCUCACCAAGGCGAUGAUGGGUAGCCGGCCUGAGAGGGUGAACGGCCAAAAGGGGAAGGAGACACGGCCCUUACUCCUACGGGGGGCAGCGGGGGGGAAUAUUGGAAAAUGGACCAAGAGUCUGAUCCAGCAAUUGUGGGGGCAAGAUGACUUUUUUGGGAAUGAAAAGUGCUUUCAGUUGGGAAAAAAAAAAUGACGGUCCCGACAGAAGAAGGAACGGCUAAAUACGU
rnacentral:rRNA from 1 species